GGCGGCAGUAGCGCGGUGGUCCCACCUGACCCCAUGCCGAACUCAGAAGUGAAACGCCGUAGCGCCGAUGGUAGUGUGGGGUCUCCCCAUGCGAGAGUAGGGAACUGCCGUCC
rnacentral:rRNA from 1 species